AUUGAACGCUGGCGGCAGGCUUAACACAUGCAAGUCGGGCGGGGGAAGGUAGCUUGCUACCGGACCCAGCGGCGGACGGGUGAGUAAUGCUUAGGAAUAUGCCUAUUAGUGGGGGACAACAGCUCGCAAGGGAUGCUAAUACCGCAUACGUCCUACGGGAGAAAGCAGGGGAUCUUCGGACCUUGCGCUAAUAGAUGAGCCUAAGUCGGAUUAGCUAGUUGGUGGGGUAAAGGCCUAACAAGGCGACGAUCUGUAGCGGGUCUGAGAGGAUGAUCAGCCACACUGGGACUGAGACACGGCCCAGACUCCUACGGGAGGCAGCAGUGGGGAAUAUUGGACAAUGGGGGGAACCCUGAUCCAGCCAUGCCGCGUGUGUGAAGAAGGCCUUAUGGUUGUAGAGCACUUUAAGCGAGGAGGAGGCUACUUUAGUUAAUACCUAGAGAUAGUGGACGUUACUCGCAGAAUAAGCACCGGCUAACUCUGUGCCAGCAGCCGCGGUAA
rnacentral:rRNA from 1 species